UACGAAGGGGGCUAGCGUUGUUCGGAAUCACUGGGCGUAAAGGGUGCGUAGGCGGCCGAUCAAGUCGGGGGUGAAAGCCUGUGGCUCAACCACAGAAUUGCCUUCGAUACUGUUUGGCUUGAGACCGGAAGAGGUUAGUGGAACUGCGAGUGUAGAGGUGAAAUUCGUAGAUAUUCGGAGGAACACCAGUGGCGAAGGCGGCUCACUGGUCCAUUACUGACGCUGAGGUGCGAAAGCGUGGGGAGCAAACAGG
rnacentral:rRNA from 1 species